rnacentral:rRNA from 1 species
CCUACGGGAUGCACCAGGGGGGAAUAUUGCACAAUGGGUGCAAGCCUGAUGCAGCCAUGCCGCGUGUAUGAAGAAGGCCUUCGGGUUGUAGAGUACUUUCAGCGAGGAGGAAGGCAUUAAGGUUAAUAACCUUGGUGAUUGACGUUACUCGCAGAAGAAGCACCGGCUAACUCCGUGCCAGCAGCCGCGGUAAUACGGAGGGUGCAAGCGUUAAUCGGAAUUACUGGGCGUAAAGCGCACGCAGGCGGUCUGUCAAGUCGGAUGUGAAAUCCCCGGGCUCAACCUGGGAACUGCAUUCGAAACUGGCAGGCUAGAGUCUUGUAGAGGGGGGUAGAAUUCCAGGUGUAGCGGUGAAAUGCGUAGAGAUCUGGAGGAAUACCGGUGGCGAAGGCGGCCCCCUGGACAAAGACUGACGCUCAGGUGCGAAAGCGUGGGGAGCAAACAGGAUUAGAUACCCCCGUAGUC